rnacentral:piRNA from 1 species
UACGUGUGCAUUUGUGGAAACGAGAUUUCCUU